rnacentral:rRNA from 1 species
AUUGAACGCUGGCGGCAUGCCUUACACAUGCAAGUCGAACGGCAGCACGGGAGCAAUCCUGGUGGCGAGUGGCGAACGGGUGAGUAAUGUAUCGGAACGUGCCUUGUCGUGGGGGAUAACGUAGCGAAAGCUACGCUAAUACCGCAUACCAUCUAAGGAUGAAAGCGGGGGAUCGCAAGACCUCGCGCGACAAGAGUGGCCGAUAUCAGAUUAGGUUGUUGGUGGGGUAAAGGCCUACCAAGCCGACGAUCUGUAGCUGGUCUGAGAGGACGACCAGCCACACUGGGACUGAGACACGGCCCAGACUCCUACGGGAGGCAGCAGUGGGGAAUUUUGGACAAUGGGCGAAAGCCUGAUCCAGCAAUGCCGCGUGCAGGAUGAAGGCCUUCGGUGUAACUGCUUUGUACAGAACGAAACAAGUCUC